UACGUAGGGUGCGAGCGUUAAUCGGAAUUACUGGGCGUAAAGGGUGCGCAGGCGGUUGAGUAAGACAGAUGUGAAAUCCCCGAGCUUAACUCGGGAAUGGCAUAUGUGACUGCUCGACUAGAGUGUGUCAGAGGGAGGUGGAAUUCCACGUGUAGCAGUGAAAUGCGUAGAUAUGUGGAAGAACACCGAUGGCGAAGGCAGCCUCCUGGGACAUAACUGACGCUCAGGCACGAAAGCGUGGGGAGCAAACAGGAUUAGAUACCCUGGUAGUCCACGCCCUAAACGAUGUUAACUAGUUGUUGGGAAGUAAAAUUCUCAGUAACGCAGCCAACGCGAGAAGUUAACCGCCUGGGAAGUACGGUCGCAAGACUAAA
rnacentral:rRNA from 1 species